UGAGGAAUAUUGCGCAAUGGGCGAAAGCCUGACGCAGCGACGCCGCGUGGAGGAUGAAGGUUUUCGGAUUGUAAACUCCUGUUAAGUGGGAAGAAACGACAAAAUAUAAUACAUUUUGUAACUGACGGUACCAUUAAAGAAAGCACCGGCUAACUUCGUGCCAGCAGCCGCGGUAAUACGAGGGGUGCAAGCGUUAUUCGGAAUUAUUGGGCGUAAAGGGUCGUAGGCGGCGUAUUAAGUCAACUGUUAAAACCUCCAGCCUAACUGGAGAUCAGCAGUAGAUACUGGUAUGCUAGAGGAUGGAAGAGAGAAGUGGAAUUCUUGGAGUAGCGGUGGAAUGCGUAGAUCUCAAGAGGAACACCAAUGGCGAAGGCAGCUUCUUGGUCCAUAUCUGACGCUGAUGCACGAAAGCGCGGGGAGCAAACAGGAUUAGAUACCCUGGUAGUCCACGCCGUAAACGAUGAUCACUAGAUGUUAAUUCUGCUUGCAGAAUUAGUGUCGUAGCUAACGCGAUAAGUGAUCCGCCUGGGGGACUACGUCGCAAGAUUAAAACUCAAAGGAAUUGACGGGGUCAUAGCUG
rnacentral:rRNA from 1 species